GGUGGCGUGGCCGAGUGGUCUAAGGCGCUACGUCCAGGACAUUCGUGUCAAAACCGUAGUUCGAAAGAGCGCGAGUUCGAAUCUCGCCGCCAUCA